GCGGGUGUAAUUCAGUGGUAGAAUGCAAGCUUCCCAAGCUUGACGUCGCGGGUUCGAAUCCCGUCGCCCGCU
rnacentral:tRNA from 1 species